rnacentral:misc_RNA from 1 species
GAUGAAGAACGUAGCGAAAUGCGAUAAGUAAUGUGAAUUGCAGAAUUCAGUGAAUCAUCGAAUCUUUGAACGCACAUUGCGCCCGCCAGUAUUCUGGCGGGCAUGCCUGUCUGAGCGUCAUUUCAACCCUCAAGCAACUUCUGCUUGGUGUUGGGGAUCGGCCGUCAAACGCCGCCCCCGAAAUCUAUUGGCGAUCUCGCUGUAGCUUCCUAUGCGUAGUAGUAACAUCUCGCAUCUGGAGAGCGGCGCGGUCAUGCCGUAAAACACCCAACUUCUCAGGUUGACCUCAGAUCAGGUAGGAAUACCCGAUGAACUUAAGCAUAUCAAUAACGGAGGA